rnacentral:rRNA from 1 species
UUAGAGUUUGAUCCUGGCUCAGAUUGAACGCUGGCGGCAUGCCUUACACAUGCAAGUCGAACGGUAACAGGGAGCUUGCUCCGCUGACGAGUGGCGAACGGGUGAGUAAUAUAUCGGAACAUACCCUAGAGUGGGGGAUAACGUAGCGAAAGUUACGCUAAUACCGCAUACGAACUAAGGUUGAAAGUGGGGGCUCGCAAGACCUCAUGCUCAUGGAGUGGCCGAUAUCUGAUUAGCUAGUUGGUGAGGUAAAGGCUCACCAAGGCGACGAUCAGUAGCUGGUUUGAGAGAACGACCAGCCACACUGGAACUGAGACACGGUCCAGACUCCUACGGGAGGCAGCAGUGGGGAAUUUUGGACAAUGGGGGCAACCCUGAUCCAGCAAUGCCGCGUGAGUGAAGAAGGCCUUCGGGUUGUAAAGCUCUUUUGUCAGGGAAGAAACGGUGAGGUCUAAUACACUUUACUAAUGACGGUACCUGAAGAAUAAGCACCGGCUAACUACGUGCCAGCAGCCGCGGUAAUACGUAGGGUGCAAGCGUUAAUCGGAAUUACUGGGCGUAAAGCGUGCGCAGGCGGUUAUAUAAGUCAGAUGUGAAAUCCCCGGGCUCAACCUGGGAACUGCAUUUGAGACUGUAUGGCUAGAGUGUGUCAGAGGGGGGUAGAAUUCCACGUGUAGCAGUGAAAUGCGUAGAUAUGUGGAGGAAUACCGAUGGCGAAGGCAGCCCCCUGGGAUAACACUGACGCUCAUGCACGAAAGCGUGGGGAGCAAACAGGAUUAGAUACCCUGGUAGUCCACGCCCUAAACGAUGUCUACUAGUUGUUGGGUCUUAAUUGACUUAGUAACGCAGCUAACGCGUGAAGUAGACCGCCUGGGGAGUACGGUCGCAAGAUUAAAACUCAAAGGAAUUGACGGGGACCCGCACAAGCGGUGGAUGAUGUGGAUUAAUUCGAUGCAACGCGAAAAACCUUACCUACCCUUGACAUGUACAGAAUGCCGAAGAGAUUUGGCGGUGCUCGCAAGAGAACUGUAACACAGGUGCUGCAUGGCUGUCGUCAGCUCGUGUCGUGAGAUGUUGGGUUAAGUCCCGCAACGAGCCCAACCCUUGGCAUUAUUUGCUACUUUAAGUUGAGCACUCUAAUGGAACUGCCGGUGACAACCCGAAGAAAGGUGGGGAU